rnacentral:misc_RNA from 1 species
GAUGAAGAACGUAGCGAAAUGCGAUAAGCAAUGUGAAUUGCAGAAUUCAGUGAAUCAUCGAAUCUUUGAACGCACAUUGCGCCCCUUGGUAUUCCGAGGGGCAUGCCUGUUCGAGCGUCAUUAUAACCCCUCAAGCUCAGCUUGGUGUUGGGGCCUGCCGCACGGGCAGCCCUUAAAAUCAGUGGCGGUGCCAUCUGGCUCUAAGCGUAGUAAUUCUUCUCGCUAUAGAGUCCCGGUGGAUGCUUGCCAUUAACCCCCAAUUUUCUAUGGUUGACCUCGGAUCAGGUAGGGAUACCCGCUGAACUUAAGCAUAUCAAUAAGCGGAGGA